AUUGAACGCUGGCGGCAGGCCUAACACAUGCAAGUCGAGCGGAUGAAGGGAGCUUGCUCCUGGAUUCAGCGGCGGACGGGGGAGUAAUGCCUAGGAAUCUGCCUGGUAGUGGGGGAUAACGUCCGGAAACGGGCGCUAAUACCGCAUACGUCCUUAGGGAGAAAGUGGGGGAUCUUCGGACCUCACGCUAUCAGAUGAGCCUAGGUCGGAUUAGCUAGUUGGUGGGGUAAAGGCCUACCAAGGCGACGAUCCGUAACUGGUCUGAGAGGAUGAUCAGUCACACUGGAACUGAGACACGGUCCAGACUCCUACGGGAGGCAGCAGUGGGGAAUAUUGGACAAUGGGCGAAAGCCUGAUCCAGCCAUGCCGCGUGUGUGAAGAAGGUCUUCGGAUUGUAAAGCACUUUAAGUUGGGAGGAAGGGCAGUAAGUUAAUACCUUGCUGUUUUGACGUUACCAACAGAAUAAGCACCGGCUAACUUCGUG
rnacentral:rRNA from 1 species